rnacentral:rRNA from 1 species
GGAGUUAGCCGGUGCUUCUUCUGUGAGUGAUGUCCUUCCUGCCGGCUAUUAACCCGCAGGCCUUCUUCCUCACUGAAAGUGCUUUACAACCCGAAGGCCUUCUUCACACACGCGGCAUGGCUGGAUCAGGGUUGCCCCCAUUGUCCAAUAUUCCCCACUGCUGCCUCCCGUAGGAGUCUGGGCCGUGUCUCAGUCCCAGUGUGGCUGAUCAUCCUCUCAGACCAGCUACGGAUCGUCGCCUUGGUGAGCCGUUACCUCACCAACCAGCUAAUCCGACAUAGGCUCAUCCGAUAGCGCGAGGCCCGAAGGUCCCCCGNUUUCCCCCGUAGGGCGUAUGCGGUAUUAGCCUGGGGUUUUCCCCAGGUUAUCCCCCACUACCGGGCAGAUUCCUAUGCAUUACUCACCCGUCCGCCGCUCGCCACCAGGGAGCAAGCUCCCCGUGCUGCCGCUCGACUUGCAUGUGUAGCGUCGCCGCCACGCGUCAUACUGAGCACUGAUACAACUACUGA